CACGGUCGGAGACAUGCAAUUUCACAUCGGUAUGUGAUUUGUUGAAGGGGGAAGAAGUCAAAGAAAAUAACUUGGCGCUGACAACUUUAUACUCACUGGAGUCGACUAUUUCCCAACAAGAAUCAGAGAUAGCAGAUCAACACAAAAUGCCCUCUUGGACCAAACAACUGUUGCCUGAUGAAAAAUUGUUGUGCUAAAAAAUCCGUUAAUAGUCGAAAGCAGAUGAGUUAUGCCGGACGUUGGAGGAGAAAGGGAAGAGUUCACGAACAGCUUCGGAAAUGGCAGAUGUGAUGUACCAUGCCAUGGUUUUGUUAAGGCGUAAAGAUGUAAAGAUAGAAAAUGUUCAAUUUCUUGGCCAAAGGUUUUCUCAGUCGGGUAUUGAGGAGAAGCAAAACCGUGCUAUAAAACAAAGCUAAAAAAAGCCCAACUAGUCUCUUCUUUUGCCCAACCAUGAAAUUGCAAAAGCUUUUUCCAGUUCGAAUCUAUGUUACUUUGGUUUUGCCUGUGAAUAACCGAAAAGGAUUUCGGGAAUAAAAAAUUUAACUGUUGAAAGGUA